GAUGAACGCUGGCGGCGUGCCUAAUACAUGCAAGUCGAGCGAACAGACGAGGAGCUUGCUCCUCUGACGUUAGCGGCGGACGGGUGAGUAACACGUGGAUAACCUACCUAUAAGACUGGGAUAACUUCGGGAAACCGGAGCUAAUACCGGAUAAUAUAUUGAACCGCAUGGUUCAAUAGUGAAAGACGGUUUUGCUGUCACUUAUAGAUGGAUCCGCGCCGCAUUAGCUAGUUGGUAAGGUAACGGCUUACCAAGGCGACGAUGCGUAGCCGACCUGAGAGGGUGAUCGGCCACACUGGAACUGAGACACGGUCCAGACUCCUACGGGAGGCAGCAGUAGGGAAUCUACCGCAAUGGGCGAAAGCCUGACGGAGCAACGCCGCGUGAGUGAUGAAGGUCUUCGGAUCGUAAAACUCUGUUAUUAGGGAAGAACAAAUGUGUAAGUAACUAUGCACGUCUUGACGGUACCUAAUCAGAAAGCCACGGCUAACUACGU
rnacentral:rRNA from 1 species